CCCUCCUCCCUUUCUCCUUCCCUCCCUUCCUUCCUUCCUCUCUCCCUCCUUCCCUCCUCCCUUCCCUCCUUCCCCGCGCCCUUGGUCGGGUUCGCAGCGGGAGGAAGCCACCUCUAGGAUGAAGCCGAACAGGAGGAGGACCGACGUGUGGCCGCGAGCGCUCCUGGAAGCGGGGCUGCCUGGGCUUACUCCGAAGGAAGGUUGAAGAUGCCAUUAAAGUUCUUGAGUGCCAUCAACCUGCACAAACCGAGUAUUUGGAAAAAUUGAAGUCGGGCUGCUCACCAACCAAUGGAAAUUCCAUGUUUCCCACCCUUCCAGACAACAAUUCUUGCAUUCUCUUGGUCUUCUUUGACAUGAUGGGCUGUUAAGCAAACGGAAUUAAAAAAUACUGUCAAGCUGUGCAACCAUUCACACAUUCCACUUCAAUCAGAAACACAGUGUACCUUUGUCUAAAGCUGAUAACAGACUGGCAUACUCGACACCCAUAAACUCUCAUCAACCAGCCUGAUGUGGUAGUGGCACCAGUUGCGGGAAUAGGGAGGCGGAGAGAGUUGGAACUAAAUAGCGAGUGUAGCAGCCUUCAGUUUAGCCCUGAUGGCUUACUAACGUUCUAAUUGGGGCAGUCAACCUGGGAGGAUCAUUUCAUUGCAACUUAUUUUGUUCUUUGACAUUUUAAAUACAUUCAUUUAAAAAAUAAAACAAAAAUAUAAAAGGUGAAUGAAAAUGUAUUAAUAAAAAUGCAAGGUUUUGCUCUGUAAAUUUUGGAUUCAAUCAGAAGGUUGUGCUUAAGGACCUAGAGGGCAACUGGUUCCCUACCUCAUUCCUAAGUAGGAAUCAUCUAAUCUGUGAGCAUCAGAAUGGGGUUAUGGUUGAGCAUUUGAGGGUUUGAGCAGUAACUGUGGGGAAUGAAAUAGGGGGUUACUAAAGGAAGAGCUGAACAAUCAUUAAGCAGCAGUGAAACCCAGAAGCUAAGUGCCAUAAAUUGUAAAAGGAUAAAAUGACCCUAGUGCAAAAAUGAUAUUCUUUGGCUUUACUUACACCACAACUGUUGUGCUGAUAAAAAAACCAAAAAACAAAAAAAAACAGUCAAUACUCGUGAAGGGCAUUCUAUAAGCUGAAGCUAAAGUAAACAAUUGUUCAAGUAUUAUCUUUCAUUGUCUGUCACAGUAGAUGUCCUAGAACAAGCAAAAGCAACCUGAAAUUUUCCAUGAAAGCACUGGGUAAAAUUAUAAUACAGUGGGCCACAACGAAGAUGAUUUCUUUUCAUAUAGGCUGACUCAACAAAUGUGUGUGGUUGGGAUGUAAGCUCUUUGAGCACAACUCAAGGUAUUUUACUUUUGCCAUUUUAUCUCUAGAACCUAGAAUUAUUUCUUGGCACAUAAGAAACGUUUUGGCUGAUAAUUUUGAAUGACUCUCAUCAAAAAGGUCUGUGUGGGGGGACCCAGCCUGAAUAGGAAGAACUGAACCCCAAGGAAUUCCUGCUUUUCUAGUUUCUUGUCCCAGUCACCACUGGCUUUAGGAAGCAGCACAGGUGGGUUCUGUGAGAGGCUGUGAUUUAGCACCAUUUGCGAUUAUCUGUCAAAUGACCAUCUCUAGUUAGCUUCUGUCACUUAUCAUUCUUCUGCAUCAAAUACCAUUUGCCAACCUUGUAAGGUAGAGGUAGAGACCACUACGUGACUUGUCCAAUCUUGCACAGCUAAUAAUUACAUGAGAUCAGAUGUGAAUUUAGCUUUUUCUGACUUAAGUUCAGGGCUCUAACCACUACAUCAAGCUAUUUCUCAUUAUGAGCAGGUUUAUGUCCACAUUUCAGGAAAUUGAAGGUCAGAAAGAUUAGGUCACAGAGUUGGUAAAUAUAAACAUUAGAAUUCCAUCCUAGGUCUCAUCUACAAGUUUUUAGACUACUUUUGGCUGUAUCAUAAGGCAUACUUUACCUGCCAGAAGGAAAGGGGAUGAGCCAGAUGGUCUCUCGACCUAAAGGCUAAAUCUUAGGGUGUGGUCAUAAUGACACACAGGUUUGGCUAUACAAACCUUAAAUAUGGAGCAGCAUAACACUGUGUUCUACAAUUUUAGAGAAUGGUUUUGUGACUCUUGCCAGUGAAGUGUCUGUGCAUGGAUUUGUAUAAAUACACCCCUACAGGUAAGAGGGAUUGGCACCUCUGUCUUUGAACCAGGUUUACAAAGUGCUUGUGUUUCAGUCCUCUUUCAGAGUAAGAAAUCAUUUUGUCUUUGAAUCAGAGGAUCACCGAUUUUGAGCUAGAAGGGAUCUUAGAGCUCCUUUAUUUUACAGAGGAGGAAACUGAGCCUCAGAGAUGUUAAUUUACUUCUGCAUCUUCAGACAGUGAGUAAACAUGAGAGGCAACAUUCAAACCCACAUCUUCUUAAAUCUCACACUCUAACACAUAUAUACCCUGUAUUUGAUCCAAAAAAGAACCAAACUCAUACUUUCUAGAUAGCUUUACCUUUUGCAACUAAUUAGUUUUAUAGAAUUAUUUUCUCAAAAGAAACACGACAGCUGUAGAUAGGUAAUAGCUCAAACCAGUUUAUUUACUUGUCUGUAAUGACUUUUCUAAUGUAUUCCCUUGAGGAAAUUCUCCUUACUCAUGAAUCUGUGUAAGGUUGUACUAUGUAAUCUGUGUACUCAUGAUCUGUGUAAGGUUGAGAGCAUCUGAAUCUCUGUUCUAGAGCAAAAUAUCACAUAUUGCCUCUUCUAGCUGACUAUGUGAUAGCUGGUAAUCACAAGUGCUAAGAGGUAUUCUUUCAUUAGUUACUGAUUAUUGUUCACUUUCCUUCUGCAAGAUCAUGAACGGAUAUUUCCUUCCUGCUCAAAGAGUCCUCUCAUUUAGCAAAUUAGUUCAGCCUCCCAUAAGCGAAAUGGGGAAAAUGCAAACAUUUCUUUGUCUUUGCUAAUGCAGCUUUCUUUCUGUCAGUAGUUGGUGCUCAGAAAACCUCUUAAGCUACAACUUCAGGACAAGUUCCGUAAAAUCAGUGAAUCCUUUCAAAAAAUCUAUGGAUAAGAAAAUUACACAAAAAUGUUUAUUACACUGUUGAAAAUGUUUGGAAUCCAAAAUUUACUGUUUUACACAAAGGUUAUUAGCAGUUCUUCUGGUUAUUAAAAAGAUUUGUUAAAAAACAUCUGUAUCUUGUGGUUUGAGGCAGACAGUUUUUC